UACGUAGGGAGCGAGCGUUAUCCGGAUUUAUUGGGUGUAAAGGGUGCGUAGACGGACUUACAAGUUAGUUGUGAAAUCCCUCGGCUUAACUGAGGAACUGCAACUAAAACUGUAAGCCUUGAGUGCAGGAGAGGUAAGUGGAAUUCCUAGUGUAGCGGUGAAAUGCGUAGAUAUUAGGAGGAACACCAGUGGCGAAGGCGACUUACUGGACUGUAACUGACGUUGAGGCACGAAAGUGUGGGGAGCAAACAGGAUUAGAUACCCUGGUAGCCCACACCGUAAACGAUGGAUACUAGGUGUAGGAAAUAUUAAGUUUUCUGUGCCGUCGCAAACGCAGUAAGUAUCCCACCUGGGGAGUACGGCCGCAAGGUUGAA
rnacentral:rRNA from 1 species